rnacentral:lncRNA from 1 species
CUUUGGUUGAAUUUAGGCAAGAUCAAGAUGAACCCACCUGAGAUAUGGGGACAGCUCCCAUACUCAUGGAUCCCACCUGGAUACAGACACUACUGUUCCUACUACCUGGCCUGUGGAAGGAGAAGGCUCCUUCGGGUGGAGUCACAUAACUAUUGUGGUCCUUUUCUGUGACUCUCAUGCACAGUGGAGAUCUGCGGGUCAGAGCAUCAUCUUGUUCUCCUCCAAGUUACAUUACACUGCAAUCCUUUCAUGUCCUACUGGGAUGGAGUAUUCCAGCAAGUCACCUGCCUUCAGAAAUCUCCAGAAACAUUUACUUAGUCAUGCUGCUGCUAAGUUGCUUCAGUUGUGUCCGACUCUGUGCGACCCCAUAGACGGCAGCCCAUCAGGC